GUCACUGACGCUGAGGCUCGAAGGUGCGGGUAUCGAACAGGAUUAGAUACCCUGGUAGUCCGCACUGUAAACGAUGGACACCCGCUGUGUGGCCUUUUUGGUUGCGCGGCCAAGCGAAAGCAUUAAGUGUCCCACCUGGGGAGUACGCCGGCAACGGUGAAGCUCAAAGGAAUUGACGGGGGCCCGCACAAGCGGAGGAACAUGUGGUUUAAUUCGAUGAUACGCGAGGAACCUUACCCGGGCUUGAACUGCAGCGGAAGGAUACAGAGAUGUUGACGUCCUUCGGGACCGCUGUGGAGGUGCUGCAUGGUUGUCGUCAGCUCGUGCCGUGAGGUGUCGGCUUAAGUGCCAUAACGAGCGCAACCCCUUUCAUUAGUUGCCAUCACUUCGGGUGGGCACUCUGGUGAUACUGCCACCGUAAGGUGUGAGGAAGGUGGGGAUGACGUCAAAUCAGCACGGCCUUUACGUCCGGGGCUACACACGUGUUACAAUGGGUGAUACAGAUGGCCGGUGCAUGGCAAUGUGCAUCAAAUCUUGAAAGUCAUCCUCAGUUCGGAUUGGGGUCUGCAACCCGACCCCAUGAAGCUGGAUUCGCUAGUA
rnacentral:rRNA from 1 species